UACAGAGGGCUCAAGCGUUGUUCGGAUUCAUUGGGCGUAAAGGGUGCGUAGGCGGCGCGGUAAGUCGGGUGUGAAAUCUCGGAGCUUAACUCCGAAACUGCAUUCGAUACUGCCGUGCUUGAGGACUGGAGAGGAGACUGGAAUUUACGGUGUAGCGGUGAAAUGCGUAGAUAUCGUAAGGAAGACCAGUGGCGAAGGCGGGUCUCUGGACAGUUCCUGACGCUCAGGCACGAAGGUCAGGGGAGCAAACGGG
rnacentral:rRNA from 1 species